rnacentral:rRNA from 1 species
GAUUAUGGCUCAGGAUGAACGCUGGCGGCGUGCUUAACACAUGCAAGUCGAGCGAAGCACUUUAUUACGAUUUCUUCGGAAUGACGAUUUAGUGACUGAGUGGCGGACGGGUGAGUAACGCGUGGGUAACCUGCCUUAUACAGGGGGAUAACAGUUAGAAAUGACUGCUAAUACCGCAUAAGCGCACAGGAUUGCAUGAUCUGGUGUGAAAAACUCCGGUGGUAUAAGAUGGACCCGCG